UUGGAGGGCAAGUCUGGUGCCAGCAGCCGCGGUAAUUCCAGCUCCAAUAGCGUAUAUUAAAGUUGUUGCAGUUAAAAAGCCCGUAGUUGAAUUUCGGGAUUAGUACGUUAGUCGUGCCUUCGGUACGUACUGGUGUUACUGAUUCCUACCUUCUGACGAACCAUCAUGUCAUUAAUUUGGUGUGGUGGGGAAUCAGGACUGUUACUUUGAAAAAAUUAGAGUGUUUAAAGCAGGCUCGCGCUUGAAUACAUUAGCAUGGAAUAAUGAAAUAGGACGUUGACCCUAUUUUGUUGGUUUCUAGGAUUGACGUAAUGAUUAAUAGGGAUAGUUGGGGGCAUUAGUAUUCAAUUGUCAGAGGUGAAAUUCUUGGAUUUAUUGAAGACUAACUACUGCGAAGGCAUUCGCCAAGGAUGUUUUCAUUAAUCAGGAACGAAAGUUAGGGGAUCGAAGACGAUCAGAUACCGUCGUAGUCUUAACCAUAAACUAUGCCGACUAGGGAUCGGACGAUGUUAUUUUUUGACUCGUUCGGCACCUUACGGGAAAC
rnacentral:rRNA from 1 species